rnacentral:tRNA from 1 species
AGAAGCGUAGCUUAGUGGUAAAGCAAACGAGAAGAAUUAUUGCGAGUUUCUUGCAAUGAUAUUGUCAUCGAGACUGCCUGGCAGUUCCUUGGCUUCCGACCGUGAAUCGUUGGUUCGAGUCCGACCGCCUCCA